AGUACUAAAACCGGGUGUUUAGGGGUUGUGAACAUCAAUUUAAGAUAACAUUAGGAACAUAUACUAUUUAUAAAUCUUACCUAAAAAGGAAAUUACGUAACGUAAUAAAAUAAUACUUAAUUAUGUUAAAGACUUAAGUGUGAACCUUGAUACAGGUGACAUUUGAAAAUAUAUUUUUAAAUUGAAACAACUAAUACCCUAAGGGCUGAUUUUUCAAGAGCCAGAUAAAACGUCAAGUAGCUAACUGAUCAAUAACUUUAUCUGAUUCUUUAACGAACCAAUAAAGAGUUUCAAUUUUUCAAAGCAUAGUUACCAGUCAGUUUACUACCUGACCUUUUUUUGUGACUAGCUUCACACUACAUCUGUGUGAGCGAGACGCGCUUAUGAACAUUUACAGAUCUAAGAAAGAGACAAACAAUUUUCAACUUAAUGACAGCGGUUGUCACAUUUUAGAGGGAAUCAUAACAUAACCUUAAACUUUGACGACUCGUCUUCGUGUUAAUAUUUAUUUUCCGUUCGAAUUUAUUGUUUGCUUUUUGUGUGUUGUGUGUAAUCAUGGAAAAUAUCGUAAAACGUGAACGUUCCACGAAUUUUAACAAAAGCGAAAUAAGAUUAUUGACUGAAUUGGUGGCAAAACACCGUACUAUAAUUGAAAAUAAGCAGACAGACGCCGUAACCAAUAAAGAAAAGGAAGCAGCGUGGAUAAAAAUCAGUUCAUUAUUUAAUGCGGCUACGGGAUUUACAGCGAGGAGUACCAAGAGCCUGAAGCUUAAAUAUGAAGGCAUAAAAAAGGAAACCAAAAAAACAUUGGCCAAACAUCGGCAAGAGCUGUACAAAACUGGUGGCGGGCCCUCUUCAGCCCCAGAGGUUACAGAUAUACAGGAGAGGGUUAUCGCGAUAUGUUCGAAUAUCAAUGGGCUGGAUGCUCGAAAUGACAGCGACAAAAUUCCAGGUAUGAAGUCAAAUAUUUUAAAAUAUUUUUGUUGAUGUUACCAUGGGAAUUGAUAUAGUGUUUAUGAAAACAAAAGUAAUAACGCACUACAUUUAUCUUUAGCAUCUUUCUAAGCAGUUUGUGUAUUGUUGUUUUUUUUUUUCAGAACCUUUAGAACUGGAAGAGACUGCUAAAGUUGACCCGCUAUCGUUGCCACUGCAAUCAUUAGAAAAUAAUUUAGUAAUUGUACCAUGUGAUGACGAUAUUCCGUGUACUUUAGAUCAAGAAGAGUUUUGCCCAUAACAGGAUUUAAAGGAGAAAGUUAACAGUGAAAUUGGAAAUGGUAUUUUAAUUUAUUGAAAAAAAAGUACAUAGUAUAAUAGUGUAAUAAAAUAUAAUAGUAAAUUAAUUUGUUUUCAGACAAGGCCUUUGAUGACUUUCAAUCUAUAGAGAUACAGGAUAUGGAAGUGGAUCAAACUGAAAAAGGUAUGUCUUUAUCAAUUUUCCAGUUCAUUUAUUUACAUUGUAUAAAAUAACAUUAAUUAAAACUUAUCAUUAUUUUCAGAGAAUAAGUGGUCUUCAUGGAAGCCAAAGGCUUUAAAAACUAAGAUUAGUCCAUACUUGAAAAGUAAUCAAAAAAUUACUAAAGUUGGAGUGACUGCAAAACUGGACCAUUUAACUGAAUCUCGCUUAGAGCUAGUGAAGCUCCAGAAGGAAAUUGCCAUAAAAGAGCAUGAGUUUGUCAAACAGGCACACUUAUUAAAAAUGCAGAACCUGCAUAAUGAUGAAAGAAGGAAGCAGGAAAUGCAUGAAGUACUAUUAAGUAAGCUCCGUACUGGUGUAAAUUAUGGAACAAGUCCUUUAGAAAUAAUAAAUAAAGAUUUAUAAAAUGUU